rnacentral:rRNA from 1 species
AGGAUAACAUGGAGGACAAUUGCAUGCAUGUUUGGCACCGAGUUAUGUCCUGAUAAUAUUUGGCAAGCUUAUGUGUGGUGCUUUACUUUUUUCCCUGGAGGAGAAGAGUUUUACACUGUGGGGGUUGCAGCUGUAUGUUGGGCGAUAUGGACGUGUCGUAAUAGAGCCACUUUCAAAAUCAAACCUCUUACAAAUCCAUUUGAAUGCAUUUUCUCUGCUUGUGCUUUACUUUGAUACUGGGCAGGGCUGCUGAAGCAAGAGGACGCUGCAAGCUUGAGGGAUGGGGCAAAUAUGCUGAAGGAGAACGCAUUGAUGAUGAUGAUAAUAUGUGCUACAAGUCAGGAAGAAGCGGCACACUGA